UACGUAGGGUGCAAGCGUUAAUCGGAAUUACUGGGCGUAAAGCGUGCGCAGGCGGUCUGUUAAGACCGAUGUGAAAUCCCCGGGCUUAACCUGGGAGCUGCAUUGGUGACUGGCAGGCUUUGAGUGUGGCAGAGGGAGGUAGAAUUCCACGUGUAGCAGUGAAAUGCGUAGAGAUGUGGAGGAAUACCGAUGGCGAAGGCAGCCUCCUGGGCCAACACUGACGCUCAUGCACGAAAGCGUGGGGAGCAAACAGG
rnacentral:rRNA from 1 species